AUCUCCCUACGCUCAAGGUUUUGGGACCCAAUGUUGCCACGGGAAGAAACAGACAAACUGAGACAUACAAUCCAUGAAUGAGUGGCUCACAAGCCAGAAAAAAACGAAAAGAUACCAAGAGGAGAGACCCUUAUUCUGCAUCAUUCUUGUGUAACAGAUUGCAACAGAACUCGACGGCCAGACCGUUGCCAUGUCGACCUCAUCGCUACGGCGACAAGUAAAGAACAUCGUCCACAACUAUUCAGAGGCUGAAAUCAAGGUUAGAGAGGCGACAUCCAAUGACCCAUGGGGCCCCAGCAGCUCUCUGAUGUCAGAGAUUGCUGAUCUGACCUACAAUGUUGUGGCCUUCUCGGAAAUCAUGAGCAUGGUGUGGAAGCGCCUCAAUGACCACGGCAAGAACUGGAGACACGUGU